UAGUUUCUAAGCUCAUUUCAAUAACUAAUUAUGCACUUAAUUAACUAAUUAAUAGUUAAGAGACUAACCUUUGCUUAGAUCCUCAAAUCUCAAUCUUUUGUGCUCCUUUCUUCUUUCAAUCUUCUUCUUAAGUUGCAAUAGCAAGCUCUAGUAAGGUUUUUAGGGAAGUUAUGAAGAUUAAAUGAAGGAAUUUAAGCUUAAGUGUA
rnacentral:misc_RNA from 1 species